GCCUACACAUGCAAGUCGAACGGUAACAGGAAGCAGCUUGCUGCUUCGCUGACGAGUGGCGGACGGGUGAGUAAUGUCUGGGAAACUGCCUGAUGGAGGGGGAUAACUACUGGAAACGGUAGCUAAUACCGCAUAACGUCGCAAGACCAAAGAGGGGGACCUUCGGGCCUCUUGCCAUCGGAUGUGCCCAGAUGGGAUUAGCUAGUAGGUGGGGUAACGGCUCACCUAGGCGACGAUCCCUAGCUGGUCUGAGAGGAUGACCAGCCACACUGGAACUGAGACACGGUCCAGACUCCUACGGGAGGCAGCAGUGGGGAAUAUUGCACAAUGGGCGCAAGCCUGAUGCAGCCAUGCCGCGUGUAUGAAGAAGGCCUUCGGGUUGUAAAGUACUUUCAGCGGGGAGGAAGGCGAUAAGGUUAAUAACCUUGUCGAUUGACGUUACCCGCAGAAGAAGCACCGGCUAACUCCGUGCCAGCAGCCGCGGUAAUACGGAGGGUGCAAGCGUUAAUCGGAAUUACUGGGCGUAAAGCGCACGCAGGCGGUCUGUCAAGUCGGAUGUGAAAUCCCCGGGCUCAACCUGGGGAACUGCAUUCGAAACUGGCAGGCUAGAGUCUUGU
rnacentral:rRNA from 1 species